CCCCUCUGGUUUUUUUCCACAGAAGAGCGCUGACUUCACCGCACACACCCACUACCUUUUCACAGCUCUUCAGCCAAUCACCUGGCAGAGAGCAACAAACUGCCAGGUCUGUGUCCUUCGGACUACUGGGAAUUAUGACUGUACUGUGUCCUGUGGUCCUCCUCCUACUGCUUUUCCUGGUCCUUGUAUUUUUCUGUCUAAAAAAGAGAGAGAAAUUGCAGCUUUAUGACUCUGGAGACACUGGAGGAAUCCCACUCAAAUCUAACACGGAGGCACCAGAGGACAGCAUGGCUUGGGAGUAAUAACAGGUAAUAAUGACAAACUACCUGUGUCUUCCAAAUGGGAACAGAAGAGGAUGGGCAGCAUUCAGGGGACGUGGCUCUGUAGCUGACUCAGAGGUCACGGUCUGAACGCUUGGCUUGUUACUGGGGUAACAAUGUAAAAACAGAACAAUCAAGUGGUGCAGGUUUGUAUCUGCUAUUCUUUGUUGCUUUAUUUUGUUGUUGUUGAUGUUGUUGUGUUUUUUGUUUUUAAGCAAAAGUGGUUUGCACUAAAAACUAUGUAGAUGCAAUAUUUUGGAGCUUUGUACGUCAGCAAUAAAUUCUCUAAAAAAAUUAUAUCUUUAUUUUUGGAGGGUAAGUUUUAAUUAAAACAAAUGCGUCAUGAAACAAAAUAACAAUUACCUAAUAUUUCAAAAUAUGUAAUGUAAAAUUACACCUUCAUAAUAAUCUAUUUUAAGCACAGUUGAUUUACUUCUGCAGAAUUUCCUAAAGGCACAGAAAUUGUGUGCAACCAUGUUUUACUUCAACUCGCUGACUGUGAGACGGGUGCAGUUUGAGCUCACUGUAAGUCAGGUUGUUGAAACAUUUCCAACAGUAGUCGUGUUACAAUCUGCACGAGGGCAGAACUGGAGCACUAACGUGUUACUGCCUGAAACUAAAUACAACUGGCUGCACAGGAAAAA